GACGAACGCUGGCGGCGUGCUUAACACAUGCAAGUCGAACGGAAAGGCCUCUUUCGGGGGGUACUCGAGUGGCGAACGGGUGAGUAACACGUGAGUAACCUGCCCUUGACUUUGGGAUAACUUCAGGAAACUGGGGCUAAUACCGGAUAGGAGCUCCUGCUGCAUGGUGGGGGUUGGAAAGUUUCGGCGGUUGGGGAUGGACUCGCGGCUUAUCAGCUUGUUGGUGGGGUAGUGGCUUACCAAGGCUUUGACGGGUAGCCGGCCUGAGAGGGUGACCGGCCACAUUGGGACUGAGAUACGGCCCAGACUCCUACGGGAGGCAGCAGUGGGGAAUAUUGCACAAUGGGUGGAAGCCUGAUGCAGCAACGCCGGGUGCGGGAUGACGGCCUUCGGGUUGUAAACCGCUUUCGCUCAUGACGAAGCUUUGUGUGACGGUAGUGGGUAAAGAAGCACCGGCCAACUACGUG
rnacentral:rRNA from 1 species